AUGAAGAACGUAGCGAAAUGCGAUAAGUAGUGUGAAUUGCAGAAUUCAGUGAAUCAUCGAAUCUUUGAACGCACAUUGCGCCCUUUGGUAUUCCUUAGGGCAUGCCUGUUCGAGCGUCAUUUAAACCUUCAAGCUAAGCUUGGUGUUGGGUGACUGUCCGCUUCACGGCGGACUCGCCUCAAAAUUAUUGGCGGCCGGUACAUUGGCUUCGAGCGCAGCAGAAACGCGAACUCGGGCCCGUCGUGUUGGCUCCCAGAAGCUAUCUUCACAAUUUUGACCUCGGAUCAGGUAGGGAUACCCGCUGAACUUAAGCAUAUCAAUAAGCGGAGGA
rnacentral:misc_RNA from 1 species